rfam:Felis catus isolate Cinnamon breed Abyssinian chromosome C1, whole genome shotgun sequence.
AUACUUACCUGGCAGGGGAGAUACCAUGAUCACGAAGGUGGUUUUCCCAGGGCGAGGCUUAUCCAUUGCACUCCGGAUGUGCUGACCCCUGCGAUUUCCCCAAAUGUGGGAAACUCGACUGCAUAAUUUGUGGUAGUGGGGGACUGCGUUCGCGCUUUCCAAAA